rnacentral:rRNA from 1 species
ACCAGACGAUGCGGUUACCGCGGCUGCUGGCACGGAGUUAGCCGGUGCUUCUUCUGUGAGUGAUGUCCUUCCUGCCGGCUAUUAACCCGCAGGCCUUCUUCCUCACUGAAAGUGCUUUACAACCCGAAGGCCUUCUUCACACACGCGCAUGGCUGGAUCAGGGUUGCCCCCAUUGUCCAAUAUUCCCCACUGCUGCCUCCCGUAGGAGUCUGGGCCGUGUCUCAGUCCCAGUGUGGCUGAUCAUCCUCUCAGACCAGCUACGGAUCGUCGCCUUGGUGAGCCGUUACCUCACCAACCAGCUAAUCCGACAUAGGCUCAUCCGAUAGCGCGAGGCCCGAAGGUCCCCCGCUUUCCCCCGUAGGGCGUAUGCGGUAUUAGCCUGGGUUUCCCCAGGUUAUCCCCACUACCGGGCAGAUUCCUAUGCAUUACUCACCCGUCCGCCGCUCGCCACCAGGGAGCAAGCUCCCCGUGCUGCCGCUCGACUUGCAUGUGUUAGGCCUGCCGCCAGCGUUCAAU